GGUGUUAUUGGGAAGUCUGGCAACAUAAUCAAGCAGCUUCAGCAGUUGACUGGGGCUAAGAUACGUAUUGAGGAUGCCCCUGCUGAUUCACCUGACCGGGUUAUUACCAUUAUUGCCCAGAAUGCAAUUGUUUUGAAACUGUCGGUGUCUAGCGAGAAUGGUGGGAGUGGUGGUAGGGCUAGUGAUGGGACUGUUGGUGAGCAGGAGGAGCUUGAUGUGUCCAA
rnacentral:misc_RNA from 1 species